rnacentral:lncRNA from 1 species
AGAGUGAGGACAUGAAAGUUUUCACUCUCUACUUGUAAAUAUUGUUGUUGUAAUGCUGAGUUAAAGCUUGUAUAUAUUGUAAAUACUAUAGUUUAAGUUACUUUCGUUAAAGUUUGUUUUAGUUCAAGUUAAGAUAGGAAAUAUAGUAGUAUAAGGGGAAAAUAUUCAGAACUACUCAAAACAAAAAGUCCUCUCUGCAAGCAAUUCAAAACACCUCAGCCAUCCUGCACCUUGAGCCUCCUCCAAACAUCUGCCUCAACCAACAACCAUCUUUGACCAAACUGAAAAUGACAAAGUAUUGAACCUGCCUCCAUCCUGUCCUCCAACAAGUGCCAGCAGCUUUUACCACCUUAGCGCUGCACAUUUGCCAACUUCCAUCUCCAACCUCUAAAUAAUAACAUCUUCCUCUGCCUCUACUUGGCUGCCUCUCCACCUGCAGCCUCCACUGUCAGCCUCUGCCUCCUCCUUCUGCUCAAAGGUAAAUAUCUCUAAUCAAUUAAAUCCAUUUAAUCAAUUAAAUCCAUGUGCUGCCUCCACCUGUUUAUGGGAUGCCAAUGCUUAAACCCAAACUACUUCUUAACAUCAGCAGGCAUCACCAGUGAUUGCAGUCUCUGCCACACAUCAGCAGCCACUGUCUCCAACUGCAACCUCGACAAGCACAUUGACUCAACCUUCCCUCUCUGCCAACAACCUUGAGCCACAUCCUGCAGUGCGCCAGUAGCUAGACACCAGCAGCCUCUCCCUCCAACAAUUUGGAAAAAAAGAUACCAAGCCAACCUAAGCCUCUAUAGGCGAACUAUAGCUUCCUCCACCUGCACCAUGAGUGUAUACCUGCUCCCUCCAAUGCUGUCAGGAACCAUCGCCUAUGCCAAAGCACGACCGAAAAACCUGCCAACAUCAACUUCAGCUCCAGCCUCUAAACCUCACAGUCUCAGCCUCCACCACUUGCAGUUUGUGGCUUACAAGUUCAGCUCAUGCCUCUAGCUGCAGCCUCCGGGAUAUACUAGCUACCACUAUCUCCAACUGAAGCCUCAAAAGUGACCUUUAUGAGCCAUCUCCUGCAGCUUCUACAAGCAUCUACCAGCUUGUAAUCCUACCUGAAAACUGUGCCUGACAGAUGCAACACAAAGAACCUUCUCCAACAUUCGCAAAGGCUGUCAGCCUCUGCUUUUGCUGCCUGAUGAUGCAAGAAAUCAAAAGCAGUGACAUCUAGUUUCAGCAGGAGUUCAAAAGCUGCAACCCUAGCCUCUUCCUGCAGCCCUCCUUAAAGGAAUCACUCAACAGCUGAACCAGUAUCUUCAAUACAGUCCAGCCACAUAUCAGCAGACUCAAUUUCAAGUUUGGGCCUUAACCAGGAACCUGCAGCCGCUUUCAACUGCACUCACUGACAAGCCUCCAAACCUGACCCCUACAUAACAUCAACAGCAUCUGUCAUCAACCAAACAUCAACUACAACCUUCACCUGCAGAUUAUAAGUGAUAACUGCAUCCAAAUCCUCCAAACAAGGUCUCAGCCAACAACCUGCAGUUGUUCUACAGUCUGAAGGAUUAUUGUUAAAGCUCAGACUUCUAACUACAACCUGGCCAAUAAAGUAUGAAGGAAAGCUGUACUCACACCUACCAACAUAAGCCUCUACUAUCACCAAACAACAAGCUGCCUUCAAUGCCUUAAUGUCUCAGACUGAGACUAAAGUGUCUGCAAGCCUCUGCCCAGCAAUCUGCAACCUCAGCUACACAACAUCUACUUACUCAACUUCAAGCCUCUACAAGGAACCAACAGCCACCAACUCCCUGAUAGAAACCUGGAAGCUGCAGCCGUGUGAAGCUGUAUCCUUCUCUCUGGAUCCUUUAUG